rnacentral:rRNA from 1 species
CCCCUAGUAACUGCGAGUGAAGCGGGAAAAGCUCAAAUUUAAAAUCUGGCAGUCUUUGAUUGUCCGAAUUGUAGUCUGGAGAAGUGCUUUCCGCGCUGGACCGUGUACAAGUCUCUUGGAACAGAGCGUCAUAGAGGGUGAGAAUCCCGUCUUUGACACGGACUACCAGUGCUUUGUGAUGCGCUCUCAAAGAGUCGAGUUGUUUGGGAAUGCAGCUCAAAAUGGGUGGUAAAUUCCAUCUAAAGCUAAAUAUUGGCGAGAGACCGAUAGCGAACAAGUACCGUGAGGGAAAGAUGAAAAGCACUUUGGAAAGAGAGUUAAACAGUACGUGAAAUUGCUGAAAGGGAAACGCUUGAAGUCAGUCGCGUUAAUCAGAACUCAGCCCGGCUUUUGCUUGGUGUAUUUUCUGUUUGACGGGCCAGCAUCAAUUUUGAUCGUUGGAUAAAGGUCUCGGGAAUGUGGCAUCUUCGGAUGUGUUAUAGCCCGGGGUCGCAUACAACGGUUGGGAUUGAGGAUCUCAGCAUGCCUUUAUGGUCGGGGUUCGCCCACGUUCAUGCUUAGGAUGCUGGCGUAAUGGCUUUAAACGACCCGUCUUGAAACACGGACCAAGGAGUCUAACAUGCCUGCGAGUGUUUGGGUGGAAAACCCGAGCGCGUAAUGAAAGUGAAAGUUGGGAUCUCUGUCGUGGGGAGCACCGACGCCCAGACCAGACCUUCUGUGACGGAUCUGCGGUAGAGCAUGUAUGUUGGGACCCGAAAGAUGGUGAACUAUGCCUGAAUAGGGUGAAGCCAGAGGAAACUCUGG